rnacentral:rRNA from 1 species
UACGUAGGGGGCAAGCGUUGUCCGGAAUUAUUGGGCGUAAAGAGCGCGUAGGCGGUCCGAUAAGUCGGCUGUGAAAGUCAGGGGCUCAACCCUUGAAAGCCGGCCGAUACUGUCGGACUAGAGUCCGGAAGAGGCGAGUGGAAUUCCUGGUGUAGCGGUGAAAUGCGCAGAUAUCAGGAGGAACACCGAUGGCGAAGGCAGCUCGCUGGGACGGUACUGACGCUGAGGCGCGAAAGCAUGGGGAGCGAACAGG